GCAUCACGUAGAAACUGGUUCCCAUACAAUCAACGAAGUUAAGCAACGUUGAGCAUGGUCAGUACCUAGAUGGGUAACUGCCUAGGAAUACCAGGUGCUGUAA